CCUCCCUAGCCAAGCCAAGUCACAAAGGACCCUGGACCCUGAAAAGUCUGCAGAGGUGGGAGGCAGUGACAUCCUGGGGAGACCCAUUUGUCCACUGAAGACCUUCCAGGCUCCCUCUCCCAGUCCUAAAGAUGAGAGCAUUUUGCUGCCCUUCUCACUCUGCCCCUGCCAUGAGCCUCAGCCUCUUUUGUGUGAUUCUUUGUUUCUUGGGAGCAGGCCCUGUGGAUGCUGCAAUCACCCAGACGCCAAGACACCAUAUUAUACAAACAGGAACCAAGAUGGUCCUGGAAUGUUCUCAGGAUAUGAACCAUUUUGCUAUGUACUGGUAUCGACAAGACCCAGGACAGGGGCUGGGGCUGAUCCAUUAUUCAAGUGGUACCGGCAGCACUGCUGAAGGGGAUGUGACAGAAGGGUACAGCGUCUCUCGAGACAAGAAGGAGCAUUUCCCCCUGACCCUGGAGUCCGCCGGCACCAACCAGACGUCUCUGUACUUGUGUGCCAGCCGUGAAUCCACAGCCCUGCACAGACAGCUGCUCUCUGCACAGAAAGCUCCGCCACAGGCACGAAGGAAAUUCCUGCCUGAGGCGUCGCCUCAAGAGGGGGAAUAACUGCCCUGAAGCGGCUUUCGUGUGACUUCCCAGCAACGUGAUCUCAGGCCGUGGGGCUUUCCAUCGGGUCACCCAUGGUGUGAACUGAGCUCCAUCACUACAGGCGGGGUGUGUAAGUAGAAGCAAAUAGCACGUAAUGUUAUUCCACUCAAUCUGGAAUAUCCUGGUAAUCGAGUCAAGCACAGACACAGUAGCAUCUAACAUGAAAUUUAUAUCUCACUGUCUUUUCAGUGCAGAGGAACAAAGCAGAAAGCAGUGAAGCAACUUGAAACUCCCUGAGAGUCAGGGACUCUCCAGAUCUAAAAUGAUUACAUAAAAUCUUGGGCUUCAGAAACA